UGGGGAAUAUUGCGCAAUGGGCGAAAGCCUGACGCAGCGACGCCGCGUGAGGGACGACGGCCUUCGGGUUGUAAACCUCUUUCGGCAGGGACGAAGGGAAACUGACGGUACCUGCAGAAGAAGCACCGGCCAACUACGUGCCAGCAGCCGCGGUAACACGUAGGGUGCAAGCGUUGUCCGGAAUUAUUGGGCGUAAAGAGCUCGUAGGCGGUCUGUCACGUCGGCUGUGAAAACCCGGGGCUCAACUCCGGGCCUGCAGUCGAUACGGGCAGACUAGAGUGUGGCAGGGGAGACUGGAAUUCCUGGUGUAGCGGUGAAAUGCGCAGAUAUCAGGAGGAACACCGGUGGCGAAGGCGGGUCUCUGGGCCAUAACUGACGCUGAGGAGCGAAAGCGUGGGGAGCGAACAGG
rnacentral:rRNA from 1 species